rnacentral:rRNA from 1 species
AACGAACGCUGGCGGCAUGCCUAACACAUGCAAGUCGAACGGGAUCCUGGUUUCGGCCAGGUGAGAGUGGCGGACGGGUGAGUAACGCGUGGGAACCUGCCCAGUGGUGGGGAGUAACUGCGGGAAACGUAGCAGCUAAUAACCGCAUGAGCCCGCCAAGGGGAAAGGAAUUGAUCGCCAUUGGAGGGGCCCGGCGUUCGAUUAGGUAGUUGGUGAGGUAACGGCUCACCAAGCCUACGAUCGAUAGCUGGUCUGAGAGGA